rnacentral:rRNA from 1 species
GAUGAACGCUGGCGGCGUGCCUAAUACAUGCAAGUCGAGCGAACGGACGAGAAGCUUGCUUCUCUGAUGUUAGCGGCGGAAGGGUGAGUAACACGUGGAUAACCUACCUAUAAGACUGGGAUAACUUAGGGAAACCGGAGCUAAUAACGGAUGAUAUUUUGAACCGCAUGGUUCAAAAGUGAAAGACGGUCUUGCUGUCACUUAUAGAUGGAUCCGCGCUGCAUUAGCUAGUUGGUAAGGUAACGGCUUACCAAGGCAACGAUGCAUAGCCGACCUGAGAGGGUGAUCGGCCACACUGGAACUGAGACACGGUCCAGACUCCUACGGGAGGCAGCAGUAGGGAAUCUUCCGCAAUGGGCGAAAGCCUGACGGAGCAACGCCGCGUGAGUGAUGAAGGUCUUCGGAUCGUAAAACUCUGUUAUUAGGGAAGAACAUAUGUGUAAGUAACUGUGCACAUCUUGACGGUACCUAAUCAGAAAGCCACGGCUAACUACGUG